rnacentral:rRNA from 1 species
UGGGGAAUAUUGCAAAAUGGGCGAAAGCCCGAUGCAGCAACGCCGCGUGGGCGAUGAAGGCCUUCGGGUCGUAAAGCCCUUUUUGAGGGGAUGAGGAAGGACAGUACCCUCAGAAUAAGCCUCGGCUAACUACGUGCCAGCAGCCGCGGUAAAACGUAGGAGGCGAGCGUUAUCCGGAUUUACUGGGCGUAAAGCGCGUGCAGGCGGAUUGGAGAGUUGGAUGUGAAAGCUCCCGGCUUAACUGGGAGAGGUCGUUCAAUACUUCCAGUCUUGAGUGCAGUAGAGGGAAGUGGAAUUCCGGGUGUAGUGGUGAAAUGCGUAGAUAUCCGGAGGAACACCAGUGGCGAAAGCGGCUUCCUGGACUGUAACUGACGCUCAGACGCGAAAGCUAGGGUAGCAAACG